rnacentral:rRNA from 1 species
UACGAAGGGGGCUAGCGUUGCUCGGAAUCACUGGGCGUAAAGGGUGCGUAGGUGGGUCUUUAAGUCAGAGGUGAAAUCCUGGAGCUCAACUCCAGAACUGCCUUUGAUACUGAGGAUCUUGAGUUCGGGAGAGGUGAGUGGAACUGCGAGUGUAGAGGUGAAAUUCGUAGAUAUUCGCAAGAACACCAGUGGCGAAGGCGGCUCACUGGCCCGGUACUGACGCUGAGGUGGCGAAAGCGUGGGGAGCAAACAGG